GUGGGGAAUAUUGGACAAUGGGGGGAACCCUGAUCCAGCCAUGCCGCGUGUGUGAAGAAGGCCUUUUGGUUGUAAAGCACUUUAAGCGAGGAGGAGGCUACCGAGAUUAAUACUCUUGGAUAGUGGACGUUACUCGCAGAAUAAGCACCGGCUAACUCUGUGCCAGCAGCCGCGGUAAUACAGAGGGUGCAAGCGUUAAUCGGAUUUACUGGGCGUAAAGCGCGCGUAGGUGGCAAAUUAAGUCAAAUGUGAAAUCCCCGAGCUUAACUUGGGAAUUGCAUUCGAUACUGGUUGGCUAGAGUAUGGGAGAGGAUGGUAGAAUUCCAGGUGUAGCGGUGAAAUGCGUAGAGAUCUGGAGGAAUACCGAUGGCGAAGGCAGCCAUCUGGCCUAAUACUGACACUGAGGUGCGAAAGCAUGGGGAGCAAACAGGAUUAGAUACCCUGGUAGUCC
rnacentral:rRNA from 1 species